AUUGAACGCUGGCGGCAGGCCUAACACAUGCAAGUCGAACGAGUGGCGGACGGGUGAGUAAUGUCUGGGAAACUGCCUGAUGGAGGGGGAUAACUACUGGAAACGGUAUCUAAUACCGCAUACCAUCAGAUGUGCCCAGAUGGGAUUGGCUAGUUGGUGGGGUAACGGCUCACCAAGGCGACGAUCCCUAGCUGGUCUGAUAGGAUGACCGGCCAAACUGGAACUGAGACACGGUCCGAACUCUUACGGGAGGCAGCAGUGGGGAAGAUUGCAAAAUGGGGACAAGCGUAAUGCAGCCAUGCCGCGGGUAUGAAGAGGGCCUUCGGGUUGUAAGGUACUUUCAGCGGGGAGGCGUUACCCGAAGAAGAAGCACCGGCUAACUCCGUGCCAGCCGCCGCGGUAAUAC
rnacentral:rRNA from 1 species